UGGGGAAUUUUGGACAAUGGGCGAAAGCCUGAUCCAGCAAUGCCGCGUGUGUGAAGAAGGCCUUCGGGUUGUAAAGCACUUUUGUCCGGAAAGAAAUCCUUGGCUCUAAUACAGUCGGGGGAUGACGGUACCGGAAGAAUAAGCACCGGCUAACUACGUGCCAGCAGCCGCGGUAAUACGUAGGGUGCAAGCGUUAAUCGGAAUUACUGGGCGUAAAGCGUGCGCAGGCGGUUUGCUAAGACCGAUGUGAAAUCCCCGAGCUCAACCUGGGAACUGCAUUGGUGACUGGCAGGCUAGAGUAUGGCAGAGGGGGGUAGAAUUCCACGUGUANCAGUGAAAUGCGUAGAGAUGUGGAGGAAUACCGAUGGCGAAGGCAGCCCCCUGGGCCAAUACUGACGCUCAUGCACGAAAAGCGUGGGGAGCAAAACAGGAUUAGAUACCCUGGUAGUCCACGCCCUAAACGAUGUCAACUAGUUGUUGGGGAUUCAUUUCCUUAGUAACGUAGCUAACGCGUGAAGUUGACCGCCU
rnacentral:rRNA from 1 species